rnacentral:tRNA from 1 species
GCCUGGGUGGCUCAAUGAUUGAGCAUCUGCCUUCAGCUCAGGUAGUGAUCCCAGUGUCCUGGGAUCGAGUCCCAAAUCGGGCU